rnacentral:rRNA from 1 species
UACGUAGGGUGCUAGCGUUGUCCGGAUUUAUUGGGCGUAAAGCGCACGUAGGCGGCUUUGUAAGUUAGAGGUGAAAGCCCGGGGCUCAACUCCGGAAUUGCCUUUAAAACUGCAUCGCUAGAAUUGUGGAGAGGUAAGUGGAAUUCCGAGUGUAGAGGUGAAAUUCGUAGAUAUUCGGAAGAACACCAGUGGCGAAGGCGACUUACUGGACACAUAUUGACGCUGAGGUGCGAAAGCGUGGGGAGCAAACAGG